GGCCGAGUAGCUCAGUCGGUAGAGCAGAGGAUUGAAAAUCCUUGUGUCGGCAGU
rnacentral:tRNA from 1 species